CCUAGCUACCAGAAUCUCAAAUUCUACAAUUCUGUCCGGUGAAAAGCACCACAAGGUGCAGAACGACAACAAGGCUCGCAAGGUCUGUGUUAUACCAAUUUCACAAGCUCAGUAAAGGCAGUUAAUCGUAACCUUAUGUCGGUGUGUUUAUUGGCUCCUCGUGUCUGGCCCAGGAAGACUGCUUCCCACCUUUGGACCGUGGUUUGGAUAAACGGUGCCCUGGCAUCAUGAAGUAAUCAAGUAAGAAGCCCCUUUACUGUCGGCUUAACAUCCGGCUGUGUGAAGAGGACGCUCGCCGCUUGGACUCGAAGGACGUUCUGCAGGACUCUGACCCACUCAUCCAGAAUAUUCGGAGAAUCUGCUGUCAGUAACAUUUUUCCAGCUGGUGUCCAUUUACGUCUCAAACCCAGGAAUAAAACAUCUGUUCCAAAUAGUGAAUCUGAGCAAAUAAGUUCUACGACUUGGAUCCAAGAUUGAGUUCAUUAUUAGAGCCACAUGAGGCAUCGGCAGAGCUAAUGGAGCCCGAGGACUUCCGGCUUCACUCUGAUUUCGACAAUCUGACUCCGAAGUCCGAGAACUUGAUCUUGAGCUCAGCUCCUCUUCAGAUCCCGAUGAAUCUUCCAAAGGAGUAGUGCUUAUUUGAGUGGCCUUCUAAAUAUUUAAUCAAAUUAAAUACAAUAAUAGUAUUUUAAUAAAAUGAUAGAUGAAACCCUAAAUACUUAAUGGGUUUUCCGAGGAUAUACAUUGAUAGCUUU